rnacentral:lncRNA from 1 species
GGCUUUUUAGUGAUUAUUUUGUGAUACGUUGACCAGUUCUAUUGUCCUUUUUCCAUUUUAAACUUCUCCGGAUACUGAUGGGUGUUGCAUAUAAAGGACUGUGCAUUAAGACCAGCUGUGAGUUUGGUAAUUUUGCAGACUUACUGUGAUCUAUUAAAGUGAAAAAUACAACACUGUAGUUCAAUCUCUACUUACACAUAGCUAAUACUGUAAUUUUACAGUAUUUAUGCAGGAAAUGCCCUUAACUUUUCUCAACAUCUACUGGAUUAAAAGCAUUUCUUCCUUUAUGGUAUUUUAAAUGGAGCAAAUUGAGUACUGUUUCACUUUACAGGUGUCUAAUAGUGAUGUGUCUUCAUUCUGUGUGUAUUAAAUUUGGUGAUUUCCUUGUAGAAAAGAUUGUCAGUGAGAAAUUUUAAAUGUAUUUUUAACAUCAAAGUGAAUGCUAAAACUACAGUAGUAAUUGCCUAACUGGAAAGUCUGGGAAUACAAAAGUUAUUCCGUUGAUGGUGGUGUUGCAUCAGCAUCUAGAAAUACCUGUGUAAAAAACCAAAACAACAACAAAAACCCCCAAACACUCCCCCCCCAAUUAAAUAUAAACAUCAGUACUGUGGCAAGUGUUUCCAGUAAGCAAUCAAAAACUUUUUAAAUAGAAAUAUCUUCUAGCAUGCGUUACUACUUUUAUUUAUGUGUUUGCCUCUUGAAAGGCAUACAAAUUUUUGUUGUAAGGCUUCUUCAGAACGGGUAUCGAGUUGUGUAUUAGGAGCGAUAUUAAUAGGUUAAGGAUUAAGGGGAGGGCUUAUUCAUUUUAAACCACUUUUGCAGUAGUUCUUAUCCAGGAACUACAUGCGCACAGAAUUUGUGUAUGAAUCCAUAUAUGUGUGCAAGCUCUGCCAUUUGUGUGCAUGAGUAGUAAUAAACAAGGAACUUCUGUGAGAAAAGCUGUGCACAGAAAUAGGUUUCACUUGAAAAUGUGUCUGUAUAAGUUGCUGACAAACUGAAAGAUAUGUUUCCUGAAUAUCUGUAUUUACUGUAAUAUAUACACAGUGAAUGCAAUGUAGACUUAAAAAUGAGUUUGUCAUGCUUCAACAGAUACAAUUAUCUUUUCAUGGUGAUUUCAAGUGGAAGAAUAGCUUGAAUAAAAUUUAAUCAGAGGGACUUUUACUGGAAUAAUAGUCAUAAUAUUUUUUGCAGGUACUUAGUUCAUCUGAAUCAUGUCCUUUUUCUUUCUCUCUGGGCUGCUCAUGUAGCCAGUAGGUGAAACACAAAAAAGCCUGUGCUCCACAAAUAGCAUUAGCAGAGCUGUUUCUCCCACUGCAUGAACGCCUGUGCAGUGAAGUCUGUGCUCCACCCUCUGUGACAGUGCCUAAAUGGACUGAGAUGUCACUUAGGCACUUGGACUUGAGACAACAGUUCAGACUAUAAGCAGUUCAGGGGUGCAGAUGCCGGAAUUGCCUUAGUGAAUUUAGGAUCUUUCUUUUGGACCAAGGAACUUCAUUCUGCUCCUGAACAUGUUUUCCUUGGUGCUGCUGUUUAUACUGAACGGAGAUGCAGCUUUCUGGGGCAAGUCUUUAAAGUGGAGUCCCUGUUGUUUGGUUCAGGUGGCUGAGCUGCCCAGCAAAGGUCUCAGUGUAUGCUCAGAAGUGUUGUGUGUUGAGCCGUUGGGUGCCCAAGCCCUACAGUGAUGUGCUUGUAAACAGGGAAGUGGCAAAACUUCUGUUUGAUUUGAGAGGGGGUCUGAUUCACUCAGCAUAUUCACACCUUUCCUGACACGGGCAAAGACAGCUUAGGUUGCAGUUCAACAGGCAAGCAGAAAGAAUUGUUGUCUUGCCCAUCUGUUCAUCGUCAUCUAGUUGUUGACAAGUACCUUGGAGAUGAGAAACACAGCUUUUUACCUGCUUCUGGUUUAUCAAGGGGAUGAUGAUUGUGCUUCACUCUCGCUUCCCCAGAGAACACAUAACCAGUGUGCUCAGGGGUAUUCUUGAAGUCACCGCUUCCUGAGCCUCUUCCAAAGUCAGCUACUGUAAGAUAAAAAUGCACAAUCAAGGGGACAAGAGAUUAAAGACUAAAAAUUGUAUAAACUUGUAGUCUGGAAGAGGACUAGAACUCUGCAGAAAAGGAGGUUCAAUGUACUUCCACGUUAUUUUUUAAUCUCUUACUCCUACUUGGAUAAGUGCAUAAAAAUGUUCAGGGCAAAACCUCAGCUACACCCAUUACCAGGAGAGUUUUUCUCCAGUCUGUCGAAGUCAGCAGAGGAGUACAUAGCUUAAGAGCAAUUUGGAGUGCUUCUCUCUCUCCCUCUCUCCAUUGUCCUUUUGGGUACAGGUUGAGGUUCACUAAGGUACUCUGAAUACCCUAUGUGCUUAUAGGUUGAUCAUUCACCUGGUAAAAGUUGUUUGAUUACAGGCUGAACUUCAAUGGAAGAUGAUGGUUUAAAUUCAUAACAUGGGCAGAACUGAUCUUGCCUGUAUUGAAGUUAGCGACAGAGCCUUUAUCAGCUUCAGCAACUCAGGGUGAGGCAUUGCAGUUCCAACUUGGAGAAAAUAUAACGAGCUCAGCCUUUUUCUUCCAUACAAUCUUGAGCAUGUGCUUAGCAGCUGUGCUGAGCUGGAUACACAAUGGAGCAGAAGAUGAGUGCACAGAGAGAAAGAAAAUAGAUUUUUAUUAGUAAGGAUUUCCAUGCUUUCAGCUACUUGCCAAACUGUCCAGAAAAAAAACCACUGGACUUCUUGUAUUUCUUUGACUGUUUUAUAAUGUAUAGUGGAUGAAUUACAUCAAAUAUAAUUGUUUCAAAAUGGUAUUUCAAAGUAGGUUACAUUUUAGAACUUUCAGCCUUUCUGAUGUCUUCUGCAAUUACAUCAGUGAGAAUCCUGAGGUAGUGUGUAAAUUCUGUAUCAUCUUAUACUUUUAAUUAAAAUAGCACUUAACAGUAUUGCCACCAGCACUCUGAAAUAAUGUGCGACUGUUAAAAUACCUAUUUUGUGUACCACUUUUUAUCCUAUUCUUCAACAGUAUGUGGUUACGAUGACUAGUAGCUUUUAAUACGUGACUUUUGGGUUCUUUUUUGCAAAACAUUUUAACCUUUAUCCCAAUUUUUCAUUUAGGAGAUUUAUCUUUUUUGUAUAGAUAUAUAUACAAAAUUUAAUAUUGUGCUAGCAUUGAUGAAUAAUCUUACAGUAAAUUAAAAAACAAAGACCCAGAGGUGCAAUGAAGAAGGUUGUUCUCCUGAGUAAUGUGUUUAAAAACAUAUUUGUUGAUUGUGAAUAUAGUAGGGCAAAAGUGAUUUUUUAAAAAAAUGUUUCAAGAUAUCUUGACAACACUUUAAUCACUUUUGCUUUUAAAAGUAUGUGGUACAAUUGUAUUUAAACUUAAUGUUUUUGUAGGCCUGUUGAAGGACACAUCGAGUGAAGUUUAACUGGCAUUUUUUUUGUGGCUGUUGGAAACCAUUGUGACUUGGGAAUUCCUAUUUAAACAAUGUCCAGAUGCUCUAGUCAAAACCUAGAACAUCACUAGCACUAGAACAUCUGGAACAUUACUGUUGUAAGUAUGUGGAAUAUCAGGGAAGAUCUCGUAGGCUUAUCAGAACAUGCACUCUUAAGGUUUUACUUGAGGAGGUGAAAAGUAACCACAUUGUUACUUAAUCUUGCCACAAAAUGUGGUGGGUAGACAAGAAAAUAAUUUAGUUGCUGAUAAUGGCAAAGAGGGAUCAUUAUAAAUGUAAUAUGAGAAAUUAUACAUAGACUGUAUGUUACUGACGCUUAUGUCUUCAAAUGUAAUUCACAUUUCCAGAACAAUAUUGUGCUCUUUGUGGAGCCAAGGAGAGGAUAGAGUAUCAGCACUGUAACAAAGAAGAGUUCGUCAACUUACCACAAUUCCCAAGUACCAUGUUCUCUUAAAAAAGCCCACACAAACCCCAAUGUUCUUGCUAUUUCAGCUAAAUAAACUCUGCAGAGGAUUAAAUGACUAUAUGCAAAUAUGCAUGUGAAAAGACCUAGUAUUGCAGCUACCAGCUGUAAAAGCUGUUAGGACCAGUACCUUGGAAGAUGCAAAUGUCUAUUUUUAAAUUAAAAUUAAAAAAUGCUUUUUUUAUCUGUAUAAAGUUGUAAUUUUGCUGUUAACGGUAACUUUCAUUUUUUUACUGAAAUACAGUUUUGUAAUUUGCAUUUAGAAUUUCUAAUGUGAAAAGGAUUUACAAAAUCUAGUUUAAUAAAGGAUUUUUGCCACAA